CGUGACCCGGCGCCGAGGCGCGGCCGGUUCGCGGGUUGCGCGUCGCUCCGCUCCCCCGGUGCGGGCGGGCGCGCUAACCACCCCCCCCCCCCCCCAACACCGGCCGCGCUGCGCCGGGGGGCGGUUUCCCUCACGCGUGGCCCCGUCCCGUCCCGCCGGUUCCCCCUGCGGCGCCGCUCCGGGCCCGCCCCCUUCCCUCGGCUGGGAACGUGUCGAUACAGGUUCAACCAAUGAAGCAACCAGACAGACUGGAUGCUGAGAACUAAGAGGAAAUGUCUUCAAAAGAAAUUAUGUUGCUUGACCAAAGGACUGGGGGUACCUACAAGUUGCCUUUUCAGAUAAAAGAGAUUGUAUGAAAGCGGUCAUGACCUGGGAAUUUCUGAGAAGAGAAUUUGGAGCUGAUACAGAGGCAGAUUAAAACCAGAGAUGCAGAAUCAAAA